CCAGGGGGCCGGGCAGCCGCGAUGGGGGCAACUCCACCGAGGAAAGUCCGGGCUCCACGAAACAAGGGUGGCGGGUAACGCCCGCCGGGGGUGACCCCAGGGAAAGUGCCACAGAGAGCAUACCGCCGAUGGGUUUUCGGACCACAGGCAAGGGUGAAAGGGUGCGGUAAGAGCGCACCGGGGUUCUGGUAACAGCGCCCGCAUGGCAAACCCCACCCGGAGCAAGACCAAAUAGGGGUCUCGCGCUGAAAGGCAGGGGUGUUUCGCCCCGAUGAGACCCGGGUUGGUUGCUGGAGCGGUGCCGCAAGGCCCCGCCGAGAUGAAUGGCUGCCGUUCCGGAUACGGUGCGUUUCGGCGCAUACCGUCCGGAUCACAGAACCCGGCUUACAGGCCCCCUGGCUCU
rnacentral:RNase_P_RNA from 1 species